UACGUAGGUGGCAAGCGUUAUCCGGAUUUACUGGGUGUAAAGGGCGUGUAGGCGGGAAAGCAAGUCAGAUGUGAAAACCAUGGGCUCAACCUGUGGCCUGCAUUUGAAACUGUUUUUCUUGGGUACUGGAGAGGCAGACGGAAUUCCUAGUGUAGCGGUGAAAUGCGUAGAUAUUAGGAGGAACACCAGUGGCGAAGGCGGUCUGCUGGACAGCAACUGACGCUGAGGCGCGAAAGCGUGGGGAGCAAACAGG
rnacentral:rRNA from 1 species